rnacentral:rRNA from 1 species
UACGUAGGGGGCAAGCGUUGUCCGGAUUUAUUGGGCGUAAAGAGCGUGUAGGCGGCCGUACAGGUCAGCUGUGAAAACUCGAGGCUCAACCUCGAGACGUCGGUUGAAACCGUACGGCUAGAGUCCGGAAGAGGAGAGUGGAAUUCCCGGUGUAGCGGUGAAAUGCGCAGAUAUCGGGAAGAACACCCGUGGCGAAGGCGGCUCACUGGCCCGAUACUGACGCUGAGGUGCGAAAGCGUGGGAGCAACA